rnacentral:rRNA from 1 species
UCAGUUUUAACUUAUUUUGGUUUUUUGAUAAGUGGUUUAAUUAUUUAAAUUAUUUUUAAUGAGUAGAGUUUAUGUAUAGAAUAUAGAUAAAAUUGUUUGUGUAAUAGGUUAAUUGUAUUGUGAAAGGUUGUUUGAAAUAGUUUGAAAAUUUAUUGUUUAUGAAGUAGGCAUUUGGCUGUACCUUGUGUAUCAGGGUUUAUUAAAAAAAUUGUAAAUAUUUAUUUUUUCCCGAUUUGAAGAGAGCUAAAUAAAUAUAUUAGUUAAUGUGGAAUAAUUAUUAAAAAUAUUUAUUUAGAAAUGAAACGUUAUUCGUUCUUUAAGAUAUCUGGUUUUUCGAGAAAUGAAUUUAAUUCAGGUUUAUAUAAAAAUAAUUAAUUAAUUUUAAACAAUUUUUAUUUAUAAACUAAUAUCUUGGGGGAUAAGCUCCGAGAUAGGUUUUAUAAUUGAAUAUUUUAUUUUGUAAAUUUAGUAGGCUUAGAAGUAGCCAUCUAUUAAAGGAUGUUAUAAUUAAAUUUAUGAAAUGGUGAAUUUUGUGAAAAUUUAAGUUUUAUAUCGAAACUAUUUAAUUAAUUAAAAAUUGAUUGUGAUAAUGAUAAAAUUAGUAUAUAAUUUAGUUUGAUUAGGUUAAAAAUGUAAGAUUACAUUAAGGAAUUAGGCAAAUUAGUGCUCGCCUGUUUAACAAAAACAUGUCUUUUUGAAUAUAAUUUAAAGUCUGACCUGCCCACUGAAUUUAUAUUUGAAGGGCCGCGGUAUUUUGACCGUGCAAAGGUAGCAUAAUCAUUAGUCUUUUAAUUGAAGGCUAGAAUGAAUGGUUGGACGAGGUACUGACUGUCUCAAUGUAAUAGAAAUUAGAAUUUAACUUUUAAGUUAAAAGGCUUAAAUAAAUUUAGAGGACGAGAAGACCCUAUAGAGCUUUAUAUUAGAAUAUUAUUAUUUAUUUAGGGUGAUUAUUAUAAUAGUAUGUAAAAUAUUUUGUUGGGGUGACAGGAAGAAAAAUAAAACUCUUUUUAGAUGUUUACAUUGAUAUAUGAAUUAUUGAUCCAUUAUUAUUGAUUAUAAGACUAAGUUACCUUAGGGAUAACAGCGUAAUCUUUUUUGAGAGUUCUUAUCGACAAAAAGGGUUGCGACCUCGAUGUUGGAUUAAGGGUAAUUUUGGGUGCAGAAGUUCAAAGUUUAGGUCUGUUCGACCUUUAAAUCCUUACAUGAUCUGAGUUCAGACCGGUGUAAGCCAGGUCGGUUUCUAUCCUUAAAUUAGUGAUGAUAUUUUAGUACGAAAGGACCAAGUAUCGGGAAAAUUUUUUCUUGUUUGUUGAUUAAUAUUAACU